rnacentral:rRNA from 1 species
GCGCGAAAACUUUACAAUGCUGGCAACAGCGAUAAGGGAACCUCGAGUGCCAGGUUACAAAUCUGGCUGUCGAGAUGCCUAAAAAGCAUUUCAUAGCAAGGGCCGGGCAAGACCGGUGCCAGCCGCCGCGGUAACACCGGCGGCUCGAGUGGUAACCGUUAUUAUUGGGUCUAAAGGGUCUGUAGCCGGCCGGAUAAGUCUCUUGAGAAAUCUGGCAGCUUAACUGUCAGGCUUUCAGGAGAUACUGUCUGGCUCGAGGCCGGGAGAGGUGAGAGGUACUUCAGGGGUAGGGUGAAAUCUUGUAAUCCUUGAAGGACCACCAGUGGCGAAGGCGUCUCACCAGAACGGACCUGACGGCAAGGGACGAAAGCUAGGGGCACGAACCGGAUUAGAUACCCCUGU